CUAUAUUUUAACAUUAGACUUAUAUGUUUAGAGUACAGAAGUAACCUGAUGAAAAUUAUGAUAGUGACUCACAAGAUUUUAAUGAACAUCAAGAAUUAAAAAAGUCUUGUCUGCAGACACCUGUCUCUGUAUUAAACAAAAGUAAAACAAGAUUAGAAAAAGUGAUCAUAAUUACCUCUGUGAUUAAGGUGAAGGGAGUAGCAGCAAAAAGGGAAGUAGCAAAAAAAAUUGAAAUGGACAGGGCAAGGUGAUCUUCAAAAAAAGUCUUUCUGAAUUCUUAAAUUUCGUCAAGUUAUUGAAAAAGCAAUAAGAAGAAAUUUACUGACAAAAAAUACUACAUACAGCGAAAUUGAAAAGGCAAUUGUGGCUUUUUUUUCUGGAGCUCUAGACAAAAAUAAAGGCAGAAAAGAAUGAGCAGAGAAAAAGUCGAUCCAAAAAACCAGUUCAACAAAAAACCGUAGCUAUAUUGCCCCACCAUUGAACUUGAAACCUUUAUCUGGAUUAUCAUCACCACGAUUUGAACGCUUUAUUUUUGAUGAAUCUGACAAAGUAUAAUGUUCUCAAAGUCUUGCAUGAUCUGUUUUAUAUGUUAUAUUUUAUAUU
rnacentral:lncRNA from 1 species